AGUGAACGCUGGCGGUAGGCCUAACACAUGCAAGUCGAACGGCAGCACAGUAAGAGCUUGCUCUUACGGGUGGCGAGUGGCGGACGGGUGAGGAAUACAUCGGAAUCUACUUUUUCGUGGGGGAUAACGUAGGGAAACUUACGCUAAUACCGCAUACGACCUACGGGUGAAAGCAGGGGAUCUUCGGACCUUGCGCGAUUGAAUGAGCCGAUGUCGGAUUAGCUAGUUGGCGGGGUAAAGGCCCACCAAGGCGACGAUCCGUAGCUGGUCUGAGAGGAUGAUCAGCCACACUGGAACUUGGCCACGGUCCAGACUCCUACGGGAGGCAGCAGUGGGGAAUAUUGGACAAUGGGCGCAAGCCUGAUCCAGCCAUACCGCGUGGGUGAAGAAGGCCUUCGGGUUGUAAAGCCCUUUUGUUGGGAAAGAAAAGCAGCAGGUUAAUACCCCGCUGUUCUGACGGUACCCAAAGAAUAAGCACCGGCUAACUUCGUG
rnacentral:rRNA from 1 species